GACGAACACUGGCGGCGCGCUUAACACAUGCAAGUCGAACGGAAAGGCCUGCUUUCCCUUGUGGAUUGCGGGUACUCGAGUGGCGAACGGGUGAGUAACACGUGAGUGAUCUGCCCCCAACUUGGGUAUAAGCCUGGGAAACUGGGUCUAAUUCCCGAUAGGACUGCAGGGUGGUGCCUGUGGUGGAAAACGAUUUUCUAGUGGUUGGGGAUGAGCUCGCGGCCUAUCAGCUUGUUGGUGGGGUAAUGGCCUACCAAGGCGGCGACGGGUAGCCGGCCUGAGAGGGUGGACGGCGACAUUGGGACUGAGAUACGGCCCAGACUCCUACGGGAGGCAGCAGUGGGGAAUAUUGCACCAUGGGCGGAAGCCUGAUGCAGCGACGCCGCGUGGGGGAUGACGGCCUUCGGGUUGUAAACUCCUUUCGACCGCGAGGAAGCCACCUGGUUGGAAGGGUGGUGACGGUAGUGGUAGAAGAAGCACCGGCUAACUACGUG
rnacentral:rRNA from 1 species